UUGAAUAUGUAUGUUAUAUUUUUUAAUGGGCAUUUUUUAGAUAAAAUUGAAAUGUACAGGGUAUCUCAAAAUUGAGAUACCAUAUUUAAAUUGACAUUUUAAAAUAAGAACCCCCUUUAAACGAAAAUAAUGGAGACGUGAAACAAAACUUUCCGCGAUUUUCGCGUGUUUUUAAGGGUUUUCUAGUGCGGUGUUUUACUAUAACGUGCUAAAUCACGUAAAUAGGUGUCGUGUGCACUGUACAAAGUAAUAUUUCUUUGCGGGGCGAAAUGAGCUCAGAAAGUUCAACCCCUAAGCCCGCGGCGGCAUCCACACCGCAAGCCAGACCGUCCGGAGGCGAGGACUUCAUAGAAGUCCGCCACCGUAGAUACCGACAAAGACCGUGUGGGGCCGAAUUAAAAAGGAGAAAGAAGGAGAGGGAUAGGAUCCUCGCUUCUGAAAACCUGAAACCAGGCCACAGCCGGGCCCCUCAUAAGCCUCCCAGGGGGGCUAGGACCAACCAACCACUGCAAAGUGGUAGGAAAGAUGUCCGCACCCAGGGACAGGCGAGGGCGCAACCCGAGCAGCAGCGAUUCGCCACCUCUACCGAACCCUCACUCAGAGAAUCGAAGAGGAAGUGGCAGGAAUCCGCCCUGGAUAAAUCGGCUCAACAGGGCCCCAAAAAAGGCUUCAAGGACGCGCUGUUGUCGCACCUUAAAGUUGCCGUUAUUAACAGCCAAAAUCAGCUGGGUAAACUCAGCGAGACUGAGGCCGGACAUGUCAAAUACGAGCUGACGAACGCUUUGUUUAAAGUAAUUACUCAGCUCGACCCUAAACAACAAACGCCGAUACCAACGUUUACAUCGAUGGUCUAUGCAGGCCAGAUCUUAAAGGUCGCCUGCAAUGAUGACCACUCUUUAACGUGGUUGAAGGCUGCAGUACCGCUGAUACCGCCCCUAGAGGGCGUAGUACUAAGCGUUGUCAGGGAAGUUGAUCUUCCUACCCUUUCAAGAAUCCAAGUUUGGAUUCCCGAUACUGAUGUGGAUGUGAACACCAGGGAACAGACACUUCAGAUUCUAGCGGCUCAAAAUAGACACCUAGAUGUCGCCAACUGGUGCCUCUUUCGCUACGAAGUGAGGACAGACCCUGUGGGUCGCCUCAUUGUCUUCGGGGCAGGGAAGAAGGACGCCGAAUGGCUUAAAAUCCAUGAAGGUAGAAUCUGCUACCUUUUCAACACCUUAAAGGCCCGCGUUGGCAGAUUAAAAGACCCCGAGCAGGGUGUUGGAGCAGCCGCGGAGGGAGAGACGGCAGAGCGGAUGGAAACAGCUGAUGUUCCAACCGCUGAGGAAGAUGAGAACACUCUCGUCAACCUAGACGUCGAUCCCAAAAUCCCGGCUUCGAGCAAGGAGUUGGAGGAGUCCAUCCUGGAUACACCUCCGCUCAGAACAGCAUCAGCUGAUCAACUCGCCUCUUCGAAAUGAACGAAAAAGGUGAUGUAUACAAGGUAGGUGACGAAUUAAGGGUGCUACAGUGCAACCUACAUCGUAGAAGUGCAGCAACUGCCACCCUUUGUCGCCACCUUGAUAUGAUGAUUAACACUAUCGCGCUGAUCCAAGAACCUUGGGUUUUAAAAUGCAAGGUCUGCGGUUUCAGUGGUUUAAGCGGUUCUAUUUUUUAGCUGCCCUGCCACUAAUAAGGUCAGAACUGUCAUUUACGUACCAAAAGACGCAAACGCUCACCUGUUGCCUCAGCACACAGGAAGAGCCGUUACGUCGAUUAGAGUACGGUGUACCAUCAACCGAAAGGUUAAGGAAAUAACGGUGGCAUCAGUUUACCUCCCGUAUGAAGACCAGUCUCCAUCUCAAGGAUUGGAAAGACUGGCCGAGAACGGAAGGGAAGAUAACUGGAAUCUUGUCAUCAGAUGUGACUCUAAUGCACAUUCAACUGCCUGGGGCAGUGCUGAUGGUAAUGGAAGAGGUAAGUCCCUUCUUGAAUUCAUUUUUGAGCCGCUAACUGAUUGACCUUUAUAACCGCUAAAGGUCAAUCAGUUAAUGACAUCACACUCGCUUCGAUGGGUAUCUCGUCCUCGAUUCACAAUUGGACGGUAUUUCAAUGUCGGACCAUAGAUGAAUCACUUUCGAUCUAGGUACCAUAAAGGUUGGAAAGAACCUAAAGCGUAACCCCAGAAGGGCGGAUGUGGACGCGUUCAGAUCUUUACUAACUGGGUGUUUGAGCGAUAUUGGGUUACGUAAGCCAACUGAAAGCUUUGAAGUUGAGGAGUACCUAAAUACUAUUAGUGAUUCCUUAAUUAAAGCUUAUAAAAAGGCCUGUUCCCUCUGAUCAGAGGCCGUUUCUGGGCGUGCUACCAUUUGGUGGUGUUCUGAGCUCGGCAAGCUCAAAAAGGAGGCAAGAACAUCCUUUAAUAGAGCUAAAAACUCAAAAUUAGACUCCGACUGGAAUCUUUAUAAAGGAAAAUUAGCGGAGUUCAAAAAAAGCGUUCGUCAUAGAAAACGAGAAACGUGGAGGAAAUUUUGUGAGGAAGUUUCCUCCUACAGCGAAGUUUCUCGGCUAAAUCGUGUUCUGGCUUCAGAGCCUGAACGACGAAUUUGCUUACUAAAAAAGGCUCACGGUUCCGGAAGUUCCGUGUGCUUACAACAGGAAACCAACCAUGAACCUACUGCAGAUGAUUGGAUUUCAGCUGAAGAGAUCUGCAGGGAGGAAAAAAUACCAUCAACAGUUUCUCUCCGUUCAAAACACUAGGACCAGACGGUAUUAUACCUGCCCUUUUACAAUGGGGCUUGGAGGAUUCACCUAGUGGAAAUCUGCCAGGCAUCUCUGGCGCUGAGGUCACAGUGAACUUCAUACCAAAACCGAGUAAGCUUGAUUAUUUCACACAGAAAUCGUUUAGACCAAUCAGGCUCUCCUCAUUUCUUUUGAAAACCCUGGAAAGACUGUGUGAUCGCUACAUUAGAGAUUUCUAUCUCCCAACUAAACCAGUAAAUUCUAAUCAACACGCUUACACUCAGGGCAAGUCCACACUAACGGCUUUUCACUCGGUAACCAACUUUGUUGGUGGAGCGCUGGACGUAAAGGAGUCCGCCCUGGGUGUUUUCAUAGAUACAGAGGGAGCUUUUGACAAAACAACUUUUUCUGGUAUUAACGAUGCCUUGUUAGAGCAUAAUGUUUCACCGACUUUUUGUGGUUAGAUUGAGAACACUCUUAAACAUAGGAUAGUUAAGUUUAGGGCUGGCGAUGUCAGUCUCCAAGGAGGAGUUACUCGAGGCUGUCCACAAGGGGGUGUACUAUCCCCACUUUUGUGGAAUCUCACCCUGGAUAGCCUCUUGAAACGCCUCACUGAAGCCAACUUUCCUAUAGUUGGUUACGCAGAUGAUUUAACCAUUCUCGUCAAAGGCAAGUACAUAAACGUGCUUUUUGAUAGGAUGCAGUAGCUCUCAAAUUGAUAGAGUCUUGGUGUGACGAACAAAGACUCUCUGUGAAUCCUAAGAAGGCAGAGUUCAUUCUUUUGACACGGAUGAGGAAGUUUGGCAAGCCCAGAAUGCCAUCCCUUGCUAAUACUCCAUUGGUUUUGUCAAAACAAGUCAAAUAUCUGGGCAUCACACCUGACAAUAAAAUGACAUGGAGAACUUACCUAACUAAUAGAGUAAAAAAAGCGUACGUUGCAUUCGGUCAAUGCCGGAGGGCUAUAGGUAAGACAUGGGGUUUGUCACCCAAAAAUUGUCCUCUGGAUUUAUACGGCUGUAAUUCGACCUAUGCUUACAUAUGGUGCAGUAGUAUGGUGAUCAAAGACCUUACAAUCUACAUCCACUGCUGCACUUAAUAAAGUACAGAGACUUGCGUGUUUGUAUGUUACAGGUGCGCUGCGGACUACCCCCACUGCAGCCAUGGAAAACAUGUUGAACCUAAUGCCACUUCAUUUGUUCAUUCAAGAGGUGGCACUGGUGACCAUGAUUCGACUGCGGGCGGCAGGAAUUCUAAUGGGUGAGAGAGAUAGUAAGAAUGUCAUUCUCUGGAAGAAAAUGAUGGAUUACUCACCAAUUCUGGAUUGUAAAACGUACUUCACACCCCUACAACACAUUUUUACGAAGAAAUAUCUCACCCACCCAAGUUCCACAGAAGUAGAGGUAAAGAACAGCCUUAAAAUCCACACUGAUGGUUCAAGCAGACGGGAAGUAGCUGGAGCCGGAAUCUUCUCGUACGAUCUCCGACUCCACGUAUCUGAACCUCUAGGUAAAAGUACCACCGUCAUACAGGCGGAGUUAAUCGCCAUACAACUUGCCGCUGACGUUGUUGUCAGAUCUAACUUGGAAGAUAAGACUUUCACAAUUUACACUGACAGUAGACAAGCUAUUUUAGAAGAAUGUAAACGAUGAAAAUUAUAAUCAAUUUAUUUUUUGUACUUUUUUACUGGUUUAUUAUUCUUAAAUUCAGCUUAACAUGUUUCAACUAACGUCAUCUUCAGAAGCGUCGUUAAUUUAAAAAACUUGAGUUCAAAAAACACGUGUACAUUCAACAUUUUAUAAAGAUAUUUCUAUUUCUUUUCCUUCUCACAAUAUUAUUGAAUUAAUGGUGAUUAUAUAUUAAAACUUCGUAAGAAAUAUUUAAAAUUUAAGAGAUUAAUACAUUAAAUUAUAAAGUAAAGUUACAUCGAACGGACAUUACAAGUCAUUUAUUAUAUAUAUAUUAUUUAUAUAUUUUAGCCCUGAGUAAAAUAACAAUUACCUCAGGACUUGUUAUGGGUUGUCUUCUGACAUUGGAGAAGGCCGCGGUGCAUAACUGUGUUAUACUUCAAUGGACAAAAGGACACUCGACUUGUUCAGGUAACAGGCACGCUGAUAGGCUUGUCAAAAGGGCUGCCAAGCGAGCGCCCUGUACUGCCCCACUCUGCAAGACCUCAGAAUGAGAGACUUCAGAGAGGAAUGGCCGAGCACGGAUGGCAUCAGGAACACACCUCUGAGCUGCAUCCUAGCCUUCGGAAAUUGCUUAGGCUGGUUGAUGUAGCCAGAGAGAGUGCAGGAGGAUGUACAAGGGGCCCGUUGGGGCCUAGGUGCUGUAUGCGGAAACGUACCUUCCCCUUUCCUACAUACAUAAAGGAACGUAGUGACGCUAAAGAAAGUUUGUGUCAUCAAGCAAAAAAGAUGAAGAUUAUUUCAGAUAAAAACAACCCCUGACUGUUGAUAAUUACUAUAAACUGGGAAUAAGGCAUGGUAUAAUUACACAACUAUAUGCAAGGUCCCACUUUAGUGUUUGUGAUGGAAAACUUAUAUCUUCUGAUGAAGUUCCAAGGAGAUAUAUCUCAGUCAACCGUUACAGAACAAGGAUUAAAAAUUUUAAAAGAUGUGCUUGUACAAAAAAAUGCGAAACAAAAAAAUGUUUGUGCAAAAAGAAUAAUUUGUUGUGUAAUUCUGUGUCAUGGAAGUGGUCCAUGUACAAAUAAAUAACAUAUUUAUUUCUCUUAUUA
rnacentral:misc_RNA from 1 species